GGAAUUUCCUGGCUCUCCCUGAAGAAUUCAUCCGGAGAGGCAAAACUUGUUACAGAGGCUUCUGGGGCACUCAACAACCUGAUGUCAUGAAUGUUCCAGAUGUUGUGAACAAGAUUUCAACUUUAAGAACCCUGCAAAUGCCAGAGCAGUCUAGAGAGUCCGCCUUCUGUUCCUACAUCAAAAUACUGAUGUCACCACCUUAUAUGGAGAAAGGUCUCUGCCUCCUGCUAGAAGCCCUCCUUUCUCAGCAGUGUGGACUAGGGGGAGAUGAAUGCUGGGGCCAGGCUGGGCUCAGGCAGAAGAUUGGAUGGCUCUCAGCGCGUUGCCCUCUUCGGUGAUUAGGCUGGUUUUGGAUGCCAAGAAACGAGGGAGGAAAAGAUUAUGUCAUAUGUCCUUAUAUUUUAUAUGUUUUUUUCUGUGUUUCUCUAUACACAGAUACACUCACACUCACUCAACGC